CUACGGUCUCAGUUCAGAUUGCAGGCUGCAACUCGCCUACAUGAAGCUGGAGUUGCUAGUAAUCGCGAAUCAGCAUGUCGCGGUGAAUACGUUCCCGGGCCUUGUACACACCGCCCGUCACACCAUGAGAGUUGGCAAUACCCAACGUACGUGAUCUAACCCGCAAGGGAGGAAGCGUCCUAAGGUAGGGUCAGCGAUUGGGGUGAAGUCGUAACAAGGUACC
rnacentral:rRNA from 1 species